AAGACCUUGCGCUUUUGGAGCGGCCGAUGCCUGAUUAGCUAGUUGGUGGGGUAAUGGCCUACCAAAGCCUCGAUCAGUAGCUGGUCUGAGAGGACGGCCAGCCACACUGGGACUGAGACACGGCCCAGACUCCUACGGGAGGCAGCAGUGGGGAAUUUUGGACAAUGGGCGCAAGCCUGAUCCAGCCAUGCCGCGUGAGUGAAGAAGGCCUUCGGGUUGUAAAGCUCUUUCAGCCGGGAAGAAAAGGUUGCGAUUAAUAAUCGCAAUUUAUGACGGUACCGGAAGAAGAAGCACCGGCUAACUACGUGCCAGCAGCCGCGGUAAUACGUAGGGUGCGAGCGUUAAUCGGAAUUACUGGGCGUAAAGGGUGCGCAGGCGGUUUUGUAAGUCAGAUGUGAAAUCCCCGGGCUUAACCUGGGAACU
rnacentral:rRNA from 1 species